CGAGCGGCGAACGGGUGAGUAACACGUGGGUGAUCUGCCCUGCACUUCGGGAUAAGCCUGGGAAACUGGGUCUAAUACCGGAUAUGACCUCCUAUCGCAUGGUGGGUGGUGGAAAGAUUUAUCGGUGCAGGAUGGGCCCGCGGCCUAUCAGCUUGUUGGUGGGGUAAUGGCCUACCAAGGCGACGACGGGUAGCCGACCUGAGAGGGUGACCGGCCACACUGGGACUGAGACACGGCCCAGACUCCUACGGGAGGCAGCAGUGGGGAAUAUUGCACAAUGGGCGAAAGCCUGAUGCAGCGACGCCGCGUGAGGGAUGACGGCCUUCGGGUUGUAAACCUCUUUCAGCAGGGACGAAGCGCAAGUGACGGUACCUGCAGAAGAAGCACCGGCUAACUACGUGCCAGCAGCCGCGGUAAUACGUAGGGUGCAAGCGUUGUCCGGAAUUACUGGGCGUAAAGAGUUCGUAGGCGGUUUGUCGCGUCGUUUGUGAAAACCAGCAGCUCAACUGCUGGCUUGCAGGCGAUACGGGCAGACUUGAGUACUGCAGGGGAGACUGGAAUUCCUGGUGUAGCGGUGAAAUGCGCAGAUAUCAGGAGGA
rnacentral:rRNA from 1 species